AUUGAACGCUGGCGGCGUGCCUAACACAUGCAAGUCGAGCGGCAACAGGUGUAGCAAUACAUGCUGACGAGCGGCGAACGGGUGAGUAAUGCUUUGGAAUCUUCCCAGUAGUGGGGAAUAACCAGUCGAAAGAUUGGCUAAUACCGCAUACGUCUGUAAAGGGAAAGCGGGGGCUCGCAAGACCUCGCGCUAUUGGAUGAGCCAAAGUCGGAUUAGCUAGUGGUGGGGUAAUGGCCUACCAAGGCGACAAUCCGUAGCUGGUCUGAGAGGACGACCAGCCACACCGGAACUGAGACACGGUCCGGACUCCUACGGGAGGCAGCAGUGGGGAAUAUUGGACAAUGGGGGAAACCCUGAUCCAGCGACGCCGCGUGUGUGAAGAAGGCCUGCGGGUUGUAAAAGCACUUUUAGUGGGGACAAAAAGCUACGGAUUAAUACUUCGUGGUCUUGAUUUAAACCCAAAGAAAAGCACCGGCUAACUCUGUGCCAGCCGCCGCAGUAAG
rnacentral:rRNA from 1 species